CCCGGGUCGGUUAUGCUCUGCUAGUCGAGCGACGGACGAGAAGCUUGCUUCUCUGAUGUUAGCGGCGGACGGGUGAGUAACACGUGGAUAACCUACCUAUAAGACUGGGAUAACUUCGGGAAACCGGAGCUAAUACCGGAUAAUAUUUUGAACCGCAUGGUUCAAAAGUGAAAGACGGUCUUGCUGUCACUUAUAGAUGGAUCCGCGCUGCAUUAGCUAGUUGGUAAGGUAACGGCUUACCAAGGCAACGAUGCAUAGCCGACCUGAGAGGGUGAUCGGCCACACUGGAACUGAGACACGGUCCAGACUCCUACGGGAGGCAGCAGUAGGGAAUCUUCCGCAAUGGGCGAAAGCCUGACGGAGCAACGCCGCGUGAGUGAUGAAGGUCUUCGGAUCGUAAAACUCUGUUAUUAGGGAAGAACAUAUGUGUAAGUAACUGUGCACAUCUUGACGGUACCUAAUCAGAAAGCCACGGCUAACUACGUGCCAGCAGCCGCGGUAAUACGUAGGUGGCAAGCGUUAU
rnacentral:rRNA from 1 species